AGAACAUGGGAGCCUAUCGCAGGCUCAGUGGGAAAAAGUGCCAUGAUUGAUUCCUGAUGUCUGCUACAGGCACCUAUGCCAGAUAUCUCCUUGUACUGGACUCACUCUUCCUCUUGUAAUGAUAUGAGAUGAUCAGAUGCCUACCUGAUGAGAUGAAGUGAGGUGAAUGACCCAGGCACAUGACAUAGCGUUAGUCUUCUAUUAACCUAUAUAUCAGAAGGAGGAUCAUCUGCUUCCAGAACAGGGUUGACCACAGGUAACCAAAACCAUCAAAAGUGAAACUACAGAUGUUGGAGUACUGGAUGGAAAGCUAAAUUUGCCACUGCCUUGGUCCCAGAGUGGAGUUACAUCUUCCUUGCAGUUUCCAAUCUCAACUCGCAAAGAAUAAGGCUCUGGGCUCUGCAGGCCGAGAAACUAACCUUGGCAUAAUGAAUGACCUGCAGCUUCAGAAUGCCUCCGGAAUGCCAAAUGACCACGGCUCCAUGCCUCUGGAAUGUGGAAUGGCCCCUGCAUUAGCCAGGUGACCCACAGCUGCACACCACUGGAAUGAAAAAUAGAUUCUGGCUCAAAGAAUACCAAAUGCCUGCUCAAGGAAAAAGUAACGGAUAAGCCUUCCUGCUGGGGAAGAAGAAAUGGUAGUGAUUGACAUUGCUGCUAUGAGAUAACUAUCUGUUAAUACUAAAAACACCUUCAUCUGAGUCAUGGCAACUUCUGUGAACCGCCUGCUGAAAACUGUCUGACCCUCCCCAAAUCAGAGAAACAGAUCUCUUCCCGUGGGUAGAAAUGUGCUCCCCCUAUUUUAUGCUUCCUAUGCAUUGCCUAAAAGAAGAAACAGAAAUCUUGUUUCCAAAAUUUAUUUUCCCAGGGCAUUAAUUUGGACUUAACAAAAUUUUGUAAUCCCUUUAGACAGCAUCGGCGUCUACAAAGUCCUGUUCAGAGAAUGCAGUUCCCCAGUGAGGGCGCCUGAACCCUUCCUGGAAGUCCCCUGCAAAGGAGACAAGGUGUAGGGAUAUUUGCAUCAAUCAUGCUCACUAACUGGGAUUUUAAUGUUUCUCUCUCCCCUUUUCUUCAUCAUCUUUUUUUUCUUCCCAGUGCCAUUCCUCAGUGAAUAUUUCUUUCUCCCCCCGCCCCCCAUUUCUCUUUUCCAUUGCAUUUCAAUGCACUGGUUUUAAAAGGAGGAUUUGCAAACUGAGUAUUAAAACUCCAGGGCACUACAUCUCCAAAAUCUAUAAGACGAUAAAAAGAUAAGAGGCCAAACCCACUGAAAGCUUCCCUCCUGGUGUCGUGGAACUUGCAGGCUGGUCUAUAAUAUCCCUAAGCCAAAGCAAUCUGCCCACCUCCUCCCCACCCCACCCUCCCUGCCUAAUGCAGGCGGAUAAACUUUGCAUUAAAAUCCCCACACUUUGGCAAAUGAGUACCCAGGAGGCUGCUGACUCAAUCAGGGCUUGUUUUACUUACAGUGUAGUACUGAGAAAAGGCCAUAAACUCCAGCCUGACAGAUCUGUGAUGCUCAUUUCAAUAUGCUCUCCCUGUGUGCGGGCUUGCUGAUGAACUUUCAUAUUCCGCCAACAAAAUAUAACAAACAUAUUAACGACGUGUGGUAAAUUGCCACUGGAUAUAGUGGGUCCUGAUGACGGAAAUAGUUGUGAGUAAAUGAGAUUGUCUGGCUGCCUAAUACCACUUUGGGGUCCAAGAUAAUGCACUGUCUUAGAGGGAUGCGGGCAGAGGAAGAGGGGGCAGGCCAGCUAGAGAGGGACCCAGAUGCCUUUGCCCAAGGCAAAUGGGGCACUGGAAACCCAAGACAACAGGGUGUCAGAGCUAUAGAUGGUAUCUGCUUAAACUCAUUAAUCUGAUCUACAUUAAAAUCAAGAUCCAGAGAGGAGAUGUUAGAAGCCCAAUGCUGCAGAGCAACUACCUGAUUCCUGAAUCACAGCCCAGUGCUCUUCUGGUUGGUGGAUUUGAUUUAUACUAGCAGCUGUCUUUAAGAGAGUAGUUGGACAGCAAGAAUACAAAGAAGGUUCCUGUGGCUCAAGUCAGUCCCGCAUUCAUCAGUAGCAAAAUGCACUGCUAGGCUUGUCUUUCUCUUUAUCUGUAGUACUUGACACUUCUUUUGGGUGCAUUAAGGGACACCAAAGGCUGAUUCAGAGUGAGUGUGCGGUAGAUUUCCUCUACGGCAACCCCAAAAGGACAAGUAUAAUUCCCUUACAGUUGUCAUAGAUUCCUAAUGACCCAUUACAAUUCUGACUCCAAUUCUAAAGUGUGUGUUUUUCCCCCAAAACCACCUAGCCAUUUUCUGGUACCAGCUGGGUGUUACAGUCCAACUUGACUCUGACACGGUCUACCUGGAAACAGCAUCAGGGUCCGUAGGUCCACAGCAUCUCAAUCCCAUGAAAUUUUUCUCUACUUCCGAUGCCAGUCCCUCCCAAGUUCGGACUGUUACCUGUGCUUUUGACUGGUCACUUAUUUCAGAUAAAUUUAAGGUUUCAAGUUAUCAAAAAUAUUUUUAAAAUGUUUUUUAAGCAGACAUACCUUAAGGCAUAACUGUUUGUUGAAAAAGUCACUCAUAAACUUAUA